rnacentral:lncRNA from 1 species
GUAUAGAUUGCACUAGAUAAGACUGUGCCAUUUUACUAACAUUCCUCCCUUUUAUUUUUUUAAUAUAGCAAGAGUUGUAUGAGAUUACAUUAACCCCAAAAGUCCAGGAGGAGGAGAGGGAAGAUGAUUUGUCUUCAGAGCUACUUCCUGCUGACAUGGGACAACAAGAUACUCUCUGCUGGCAUGGGGUGAUGUCUCAAGCUGCUGUCUCCUGGACAAGGCUCUGAUGGCAAACCUUGUUGGGAGACAAGAAGAGUGGUAAAAAUUUUUGCUGAAGAAGACAAUAUUUAAAAACCACAUAUGAUCUCUUUAUCCUUCCCUUUCUUUAUUUGAGAAUAUUAAAAUAUCAACAUUUACUGUCAUGCAAAAACUUUCAAUCAUAUGAUGGCACCUGAAAGAUUUAUUCAAACAUAAUGAAUAGAGCACCUAAAAGCAAUGGAAUUCCAGAUCAGCAGCUGCAAAAGCAGCAACAGCAGCUAUAACCUGAUUAUCAAGAGGAGUUGGAAUCAUUCUUCACAGGACAUCUGGGAAGGAUUGAAGAAGAAAGCAUAAUGUUUAUCCUCCUGGAGUUGAUGUUGGAUCAGGAGCUGAUAACUAAUAAAUAAAAUAAACAAGAUGCA